rnacentral:rRNA from 1 species
UACAGAGGGUGCGAGCGUUAAUCGGAGUUACUGGGCGUAAAGGGCGCGUAGGCGGUUAUUUAAGUGAGAUGUGAAAAUCCCCUGGGCUUAACCUAGGAAUUGCAUUUUAGACUAGAUGACUGGAGUACAGUAGAGGGUAGCGGAAUUUCCGGUGUAGCGGUGAAAUGCGUAGAGAUCGGAAGGAACAUCAGUGGCGAAGGCGGCUACCUGGACUGAAACUGACGCUGAGGCGCGAAAGCGUGGGGAGCAAACAGG